AUUAAACGCUGGCGGCAUGCUUAACACAUGCAAGUCGAACGGUAACAGGCCUUCGGGUGCUGACGAGUGGAGAACGGGGGAGUAAUGCAUCGGGAGUUGCCCAGGCGUGGGGGAGAACGCAGCGAAAGCUGUGCUAAUAACGCAUGUGAUGUGAGUAUGACAGCGGGGUACCAGGCAGAAAUGUUUGGCCUCGCGCCUUUGGAGCGGCCGAUGUCAGAUUAGGGAGUUGGUGGGGUAAUGGCCUAGCAAGACGACGAUAUGUAGCUGAUCUGAGAGGAAGAUAAGCCGCACUGGGACGGGGACGCGGACAAGACUCCUGCGGGAGGGAGCAGUGGCGAAUGUUGGACAAUGGGAGCAAGCCUGAUCCAGCAAUGCGGCGUGCGGGAAGAAGGCGGUCGGGUUGUAAACCGCUUUUGUACGGAGCGAAAAGGAUCUGGCUAAUACGUGGGGCUGAUGACGGUACCGUAAGAAUAAGCACCGGCUAACUACGUG
rnacentral:rRNA from 1 species